CACUUCGGAUGGGAAUACAUUUAAUCUGGCUUUGGUGAAAAGACGCCGAUAUGUUGGUACAAAUUUCUAAGAUAUGCUGGUGUUUGAAAAUUGAACCCAUAGUGAAUUCCUACUGCUAAUGGGCCACAGUUAACAUGAGAUUGAGAUCGGAGAUCACUAUGUGAUAUGUCCCAGAGCCUUUGCCUCAGAGAUUCAAGGGCGGUAUCAUAGCCCACAUGGUACAGGAGAGAAGGUGGCAUACCAAGCCAAGUGGCUGUUCUAACCAUCAUUUUCAUCCAUGAGCUGGUAAACUCCUCGUUGCUUAGGUAUGGAAGUAACCCCUUCCCUAGGCCAAAGACUGAGAUCUUGAGCCAGUAUCUCAGGGAAGCCCACCGUGCUUUAGUUCAUAGAGGACAUUCACCUGUUUCUAAAAAUAGUUUUGCAUUUGGAACACAAUUUGGAACUUGUAGGAGGGACUGGAGAAACUUUGCCUUUCUCACACCAUAAAUAUGCAUGCCAACCAAAUCGGUUGUCAUGUCCUUCCGGAUCUAAUAAAUCAGUAUUUUCUAAUUUGAUCCAGUCCCAGAUCCAAGUAAUGCAGCUUGCCUCAUAGCAAAAUUUUCAGUCUGGAAGACAGCCAUUUUUUCAUAUGUGGUGGAAUUGUAAAAAUAAUUAUUGGGAUAUGAUUUAUAAUGAAAUGAAAAAAAUGUUCAAGUUAACCUUUGUUAAAAGUUCAGUAGCAUUUUUAUUAGAUAUUGUAGGGCAAUAUUUACCAAAAGAUAAGAAUCUAUUUAUGUAUGCAACAACAGUGGCCAGAAUUCUACUACCUCAAAGAUGGAAAAGCGACAAAAUACCAACAAAAAGGAAAUUGGCAAGAAGAGUUGAUGGAAUACGCUGAAAUGGCGAAGUUAACUGAGAGACUCAAAGUUAAGGACAGUAACGACUUUUAAAAAGAUUGCGAACAUUAUACACACACACACACACACACACACACACACAGAAACAAUGCACCGAAAUGAACUAAUUUGCAGGAUUCGAGUAAUCCACUUACAAUGGACAUAUAUAAAUAGAAAAUAAUAAUAUGAGG
rnacentral:lncRNA from 1 species